CCCAACGUGACGUCACCCGGAAGUUAUUCCUUAGCUGGCGUCAAAUAGUUUUCCACCGAUAUUCUCAUCCCAACAAACAAAUUAUUUCAGGUAGCUAGGAAAUUCGUUUAAAUGUGUUUUACAUUUUCAUUUGGUACUUUAAUGAGUUAUUUAAAUAACGCAUGGCUCAGACAAACUCUAGAGUCUUUUAAGAGUGUUUGUUAUCCUAGCUUGUAAGCUAGCUAACGUUACACUUACCAUUGUCUUGGGUUGGAAAGUGACGGCAGCUCAAUAGCCCACCAUGUCUGAACCGGGUUCUGGGUGAGGCGUUCCAGUCCAGAGAAGCUCACAACAGGGUCCAGAGGUGGUGUCAGUGAAGCUGGAGGACUGCGGUCAAACACUGGAACUCAAUGUGAUUGUGAAAGAGGAGGAGAAUGGAGAGGUUAAAGAAGAAAAGCGCGGAAAUCAAAGAAGAUAAGGAAGAGGGGAGAGAGAGAGGUCCAAAACGAAGAGGAGAGAAAUGCUGAUAUGGCUCCUCCAGGAGAGAGCUCCAACUCAGGCUCACUCAGCGAGCCCAGUACCACAGUAUCAGGAAACCACCAACAACACCGAGGGAGGAACUCAAGGCAGAAACAUCACCACUGCUUGGACUGCUUCACUCGUUUCUGUGAGCCAGAGGAGUUGAGAAGACACACUUGUAAAAACCGCAGCCACGGUGUAACAUGUCCUCCCAAACGGAAAAAGACCUCCAGCUCCUUCUCACCAAUCCUCCCACCAAUCCUCCCACAUCAUCGUGUCAGCUAUUGGGGAUCCUAGUAAACAUAAAUGUUGCAGGAGGAGAAACUCCAGAUAAAGUCUUGGUCCCCCACCAGCCACCUGAUGUAGAAAUAUCACUUCCUCAACACAGAACAAAAGGAAAGGACCCGUUCAUUCAACCCCUCGUGGUUCCAUAAGAAAUCGUGGCUGACGGCGUCUCCAAAAAAAACCUUUGCUGCUUCCCGUGCCUUUUAUUCGGCAAAGACUUGGUCAACGGUGGGUUUCAAGGACCUGAAGCACCUCUCCGAAAGGCUUUCGAAACAUGAGAGUUGUUGUACUCAUCUGGAAAACGGCAUGAAACUGGGAUUUCUAGGGAAGACUAACGCUGCUGGUCAGCUGGUCGGCGUAAACCCAAGCUCCCAUUGAGAUACACAACAGACAAACGGAGGAGAGUAGGUACGUUUCUGGGUAGAAUGGUCAAAAGCUACGUUCUGUGCAGGAGACACAUGGCUGCGACGUGGCCGAGCGGCCUGGUCGAGUCGGAUUCCCUAAACGCAUCCAUGUUUAAGUGCGUCUUUGAGACGAGGGAGAGGGAGACUCCAGACUCCAGAGGCAUUACGACGCUCACGGCUUCUUUAAGCACCCAAAUGGCUAUGUACAAAACAAACUGUUUGACUGUAUGCACGAGGUGUACAAAGAGGCGAUUACCAAGGAGGUGUGGGCGGCUAGCUUCGUAGCGGUGCAGGUGGACGGCAUGCCGUGGACAGGGGAGGUCUCCUCCAGGGUAUUAUUGCCCCUAGCUACAGAUCUAGGAUCAGCUUCCCCAAUCCCAACUGUGACCAUUAGCUUCUUGGGCUAACAAUCUACUCCAGUACGCCACAGCAGGUCUCUGUCGUGCUACGGUACACGCUUCCAGACAAUACUGUCACGGAGAGGUUUUGGGAGUUUGUGGACCUAAAGGAUAAAACGGACGCCGGUCUCACCAAGGCAGUCAAGGACUCGCUGGAGCCACUGAUAUGGUGGUUAACACUGGGAAGCUGAAAGAUGAAUUGACCUCUCUGUACCAACACACGGAGCUCCACAGGGGUACAACAGCUCCGUCAUUACUGAAAACAAUCAGCGAGCUCAACCUCCAGGAUGUUUUGUCAGAGACGGUCUCUCUUCUCAAAAUCAUCAUCACCACUCCCAUGCAGACCGCCGAGUCUGACAGAAGGUUCCCCACUCUGAAAAGAGUCCAGGCGUUGCCGUGUUCUCGGAACACCUCGGGUUCCGCGGUCGCUUGGCAACAGAACAACGGCAGGCUAAAUGCACUGUCCAUGCUCUCUGUCGAGAAGGACUUCAUUCAAGCACUCAGGUCAGAUUUUCACGACAAGGUCGUUGAUAAGUUUGUCCAAAAUAAAACCUGCCCUGGAGCCUUCCUGUUUAAAUGAGCAGUACAGCAUCUGAGAAGGCUUGGGCUGUGUCUUUAUAUAGUAUAUACUGGGGCUGUGUCUUUAUAUAGUAUAUACUGGGGCUGAGUCUAUAUAUAGUAUAUACGGGGGUCUGAGUCUGUAUAGAGUAUAUACUGGGGGCUUAGUCUAUAUAUAGUAUAUACUGGGGGCUUAGUCUAUAUAUAGUAUAUACUGGGGCUGUGUCUUUAUAUUGUAUAUACUGGGGCUGAGUCUAUAUAUAGUAUA